UACAGAGGGUGCAAGCGUUGUUCGGAAUUAUUGGGCGUAAAGGGUGCGUAGGCGGUUUGGUAAGUCUUAUGUGAAAUCUACAGGCUCAACUUGUAGUCUGCAUGAGAAACUGCCGGGCUUGAGUGUGGGAGAGGUGAGUGGAAUUCCUGGUGUAGCGGUGAAAUGCGUAGAGAUCGGGAGGAACACCUGUGGCGAAGGCGGCCCCCUGGGCCGGCCCUGACACUGAGACGCGAAGGCGUGGGGAGCGAACGGG
rnacentral:rRNA from 1 species